CGCAAGGGUUGCUGAAGUCCCCGCUAGACGCGAACUUUCACUUUGUGAAAUUGGCUACACCCUCCAAAUGGUAUCACAGAAAUGGACUUUCUGGGGCUCGUCUCUAUGAAUGGGUUUUAGCUGCACAGUGGUGCCAUUCAUUUUAUUUGGCCCACGUAUUGCCAGUCCAUUCUAAAUUUGGCCUUAAUUAUUUUUCCUUUCACAAAAAUAUUUUGUGGGAUCUUUUUGAACCCCGACGACUUCCUUCUUGUCCCUUAAACCAGAAUCCAGGAGUGUUAUUUUUGUUCUCCUCUAAUUAAAAUAAUUGCUUGCUUCUUUUUAACUAGAUUCGUGCAGUUAUUAGCCUAAUACAUGGAUGGGUGCCACGCGGUGCUUAAGAGACAGAAUGAGAAGUGAUCGUGUAACUUCACAUGAAAAAGAUUACCUAGUGCCAAGGAGCAUUUUCCCUUUUCAGCUGGCAUUUUAGAAGAGCCUUUAGUAAAUUUGCGCCCCCCCCACCCCACCACCCCCUUGCUAAAAGACGAUUAACUGAAAGAAUAGUUCUAUUUUCUUCGUUAGGUACACAGCUCACCCAGGACAAUUUGAAGAGGGGCACUUGAUAUGCUGGGCAGGGUACAAAGACCUGGUCUCUGGUUUUAAUUUCUGCCCCUGUUUUGUCUUCCAGAAUAACUGUGUGUGAAGGGUGAAAGCCCCAUGUCUCUGAAGCCAGUGGGUGUUCACAAGAGGAUUAUGGGAAGAGGGACAGAAGUGCCUGGAUGUACUGUUCAGAACUGGCAGGACCGGCCUCUAAAAGGAAGACUUAAAAUGAUGUUUUUGACAUCAACACUUUCCCCAAAGUUGAUAUGGAACAUUUUCUCUCCUCGAAGAACAUCUCGGUGGCAUUUUCAGAGAUGAAAUGAAGUCUUCCCUCUGAUUGGAAAAUCAGUGUUGGUUCAUACAGACAGGCACAUCCCUACAAAUGUCUUUUGUCUGCCGAUGACGCACCACUUAUGUCAGUUGCCUGCCAGAUACGUGGAAAAUGACGGUUCUGUACUAUAGGUUUUCAUUCCUAUUAAAUGCUAUGGCAUGUGAUCUUGAACAAACGUUUGUAGUCAAUGUUUGAUCAAAAG
rnacentral:lncRNA from 1 species